rnacentral:rRNA from 1 species
GAUGAACGCUGGCGGCGUGCCUAAUACAUGCAAGUCGAGCGAACGGACGAGAAUCUUGCUUUUCUGAUGUUAGCGGCGGACGGGUGAGUAACACGUGGAUAACCUACCUAUAAGACUUGGAUAACGUCGGGAAACCGGAGUUACUACCGGAUAAUAUUUUGAACCUCAUGGUUCAAAAGUGAAAUACGUUCUUGCUGUCACUUAUAGCUGGAUCCGCGCUGCAGUAGCUAGUUGGUAAGGUAACGGCUUACCAAGGCAACGAUGCAUAGCCGACCUGAGAGCGUGAAGGCCGCCACUGGGAGUGAAACACGGUACAGAGUCCUAGGGGCGGCAGAAGUAGGGACUCUUCCGAAAUGGGCGAAAGACUGACGGAGGAACGCCGCGUGAGUGCAGAAGGUCUUCGGAGCGUAAAAAUCUGUUAUUAGGGAAGAACACAUGUGUAAGUAACUGUGCACAUUGUGACGGUACCUAAUCAGAAAGCAACGGCUAACUACGUG